CAUGGAACGCUUUAAAGUGUGUGCCUUCCAUUUCACAUGGAUACUUCUUUUAAGUAUAAUCUUAAGCGUUGAAGCAAAGGAAAGAGAUGCUUCCAUUUUAGAUGGAAUUGAUGUAGGUGUUCCGAAGCUUUUAGGUAAAGUAGACAUUCUUUUGAAUGGCGUUUUCUCCACUACUGAUGAUCUCGUAGAUUUUCUAGUUGGUAAAUGAUGCUGGAUUGCUCACACAGAAUAUUGUGCCACAUUUUGUAUAAAGAAAUAAAUAAAAUUUCGUAUAGAUUUGGAUAAAAUUGAAAAAGAAAAUGUAAAAUAUUGCUGAAUUUAUUGCAGAGAAAGUAUAUUUGCGGCUGCUGCUGCAUUGCAGAAAUAGAUUUGCUGUAUUUCUACAUUUUAUAGUAACACCUUCCAGCGUUUUUAAAAUUUUAUAAAUGUAUAAAUUAAUUUAAAAUUAAUUUUGAAUAAUUUAAUUGUUAGACAGUAGAAGAUAAUUAUAAGAUUUUUUAUUUGAUGUAGAUGAGUUUUUAAAAGGUAGCUUAAAUAAAUAAAAAAUAAUUUUUUAUUAAUUAUUUAAUUAAAAAAUAAUUUUUUUAAAUAAAUGUUUUUUAUUGUUUUUCUUGCAUUAUUUAAUCUUAUUUAUUCAACUUGAACUGAACAAGCUUAAUGAAUUGUACGAUUAAAGCAAAUGACUAA